GAUAAAGACAUACCCAUCUGAUCCAUGCAAUUCGUUUUAUGAUCCUUUUUCAACAGCAGCCCCAUUUCCUGUAAGUAUAUCUGCCCCUGACCCAUGCAAAUGAUAAUAUGGUUAUGUGGGGUUAAUAGGAUGAUUUUAAAAGAGCAGAGUUGUUCUGAGAUAUACCCAAAAUAAGAAUUUGUAAAAAUUUUAAUUUAACUGGGUUUGCUAUUAAGAAUAAAUGACCAGGUAUUAAAAACCUCAAAUUUGAAUUAUGAAUGCAUCACAAUCACAAGUACAGAAUAAUCUAUUAUGUCUAUGGUUUGAAGUUCAGUUGAUCCAAUCCUAAUAAUUGGUAAGUUGACUGGAAAAUAGCAAAUUUUCUGAGAUAAGCAUUUAAGUUAAGCACUGAAGUUAUGAGGGUAUAAAUGUGGAUGUUAAGGUUUCUGAUUCAUUUAUUAUAUGCCGCUUCAGUGUUGCAUCUUAAUCUUGCCAUCCUGGACGUGAUGACCUCACGUCCAGUCUGCUUGGAAUCAUUUUGUAAUGGCCCUCAGCUGUGUAAUGGGUAUAUAUUACAGGAUGGUGAGGUGAGUUUUAGGCUGUCACUUGAGAAAGGCCCAGUUCUUUGUGCUUAUAUGUUGGGGUUGUAAUUUCACAAGUGUUAGGGCUUCAACAUUUUUCUGAUGUUUAUCAGGACUGUUUAUUGUAAUUAGCCUUUGUCACUUUCUUUUAUGUUAUCUGACUUUUGUGGCAUUGGUUAUUGUUUACCAGUGUAUUGUUUCUUUAUGUAAUAAAGAUUGUCUUUUUUAUAUGAAUAUUCAGUUUGCCUAUAGAAUCAGUAUAAAGUCCAUAAAGUCAGACAUGAAAAUAAGUCAUAAAAUACAGUAGCAAGGUGACACAUAGAAAAAUUGCUGAGGAAGCUAAAAAGGAAAAAAUUCAGAAGCAUGCUUCCCGGUGGAAAAAUAUUCAUCUUUUAUCUUUUUUAAAAUUAAGAUUUUCUUUCUACAACAAAGCUGAAAUGAUCUAGGAGGCUUCAUAUUUUGUAGUUCUAACUCUGAGAGAGAAAACACAGAGUGGUUAAUAGAAAAGUAAAAGGUUGACUUGUGUGACCAAUUGGCAUACCUUAAAAUUACCAAGAGAUUCACACAGCUGUGGCCCACAUAGCAUGAGCACCAAUGGAAUGAGAAUUACCGGGUAGAGACAUAAACCAGCUAAUCAAUGUGGCCUCAAAAGGAUACCAAAUAGAAAUGUUAGGACAACUUGUCCAAAAGAGGCUAUUGAGGUAAUGACCUAUUAACAAGCAAGAAUUUCAUGAAUUGUAAAACUAAAUAAACAUCCCAAAAUGUGGAAUGUGGGAAUAUUUAGGCUUUGGUUGAUGCAACAACUGAAAAGCUCUUAGUAACCAGCAAAUGAUCAGAUUCGUCAUCAAAGGAAUAUCCUGUAUCAGAACUUCCUAAUUCACUGAUAAAAACAGUUUAUUGAAAAGUAGAAUUUACACUCUGAAAGGGACAAAAAGUAUAUCUACAGAGGCAAUAAAGGGUUCAAAGUCCCUAGGAAAUCACUAGCUGUGUCAUCUGUCCCAAGCCCUGAUGUAGCAUCUUCUGGUCCAAGGAGCCCAUGAAUCCCAGAGAAUAUUGUGAUAGGCCUGAAAAUUCCAAGACCCCCUGAAAUCUUCCAGGCCACCUAAAGAACAUGAUUGUGUUUUAUCAGCAAAUUAAGCUACCCGAAAGAGCAAAGUGUGGGAGUAGAAGAGGGUCAUUGAUCAACAGGCUCAAGAGUUCUGGGAAUCAAGAUUCCAGUUUGUAACCCCAAACAAACGGUAAGGUCCAAACAUCAGAGGAAAUCAUUACCCAGAUGUGGAAAAACGAGUGAUACAUCCAACAGUAGAAAUAACCUGUCCCUAAGGUCUUACCCGUGGGAUAAUUGGUAUGUCAUGAUCCUCCGGUUCUACAUCUGUGAUCAGCUGCAUGAUGCAAUGGAAAUUCAGCUCAUAGAGGAUAGGAAGAAGAGUCCUGAAAGAAUCGGUUUAUUGUGGUCUGUUGGGGUAUUGGGGUCUGUUUGGGCCUGAGGGUCAGAACUGUCUGGAGGCAAUCUAGCCUUUCCAAAAACAGUCUGUGUGCCUCAUAAAACAAGCAUUAUGAAGGUCUGUACCUUGUUCAGAGAUACAUACACCUUCCCAUGCUUUUAUAGUUCUUCAAUUAAGUCAUUUUGCCUCCGAACCGAACUCUCUUGUGCCAAGAUAUACCAAUAUGUCAUGCAUCUUAAAGGAACACUCCAGGCACCAUAACAGCUUAAUCUAAAAAAAAAUUAAUUACAAUUACUCCCCCCAGGCAUUAACUGGCUUCCAAAAUGUCAGUUUCAGGAAUCACUAAAUGCUGCCUGGCAGGGGCAUGGCUGAUUGACUGAGAUCACUCAGCUAAAGCUCUCAGCUAAUCAGUGAUUCUCCAUUCACAAAAUUGGCUUGAAAAAUGUAUGUUUCUUUCAAGCCAGGUUUGUGAAUGGGGAGUCACUAAUUGGCUGCCAACGUCAGCUGACCGCUCUUAGCCAAUCAGCACACACCUGUGAAAUAGACCUCUCCAUGCUUCCUGAAACUGAAAUUUUAGAAGCUAGAUGCCGCCUGGGGGAAGUUGAGAUUGGCGCUGAAGGCAACUUUGGGGUGUAACCAUUCUAAACCAGUUUAACCCCUUCAGGUAGGAGUGUGUCCAGAGGCCUCGUGUCAGCAUAAGGCAUCAUAACAACUUAAUUUGGAUGAAGAUAUUAAUGCAAAUUAAGUUGUUAAUGUGCCUAAACUGCCCCUUGAAGCAAUGCUGCCUUUCAACAUUCUGAAGAGAGACGGUAAAUGCAACAUCAUGUUAUGCUGUGUGGGUCUAUCGAGAAGCAACUUGACAAGGCUUUAUCAGCUACAACAGAAUUUUAAUGUAUGGGGGCCAGCCAGCGCAACUAGAUUAUCUUGAGCUGACUUAAAGGCACACUGUAGGCACCCAGACCACUUCAUUGAAAUGGUAUGGAUGCAAACUCCCUUCACCCUUAAGCCUAGAUUGGUAAUUAUUGCAGUUUAUAUAAACUGACACAAAAAACACAAGUAUCUACAAUAAAAGAAAAACAGGACCACACAUAGAGUAGUAGAGUAAAACACUGAGAAGGGGUGUAUUCAAUGUUAAACUCACAAAAUUAAGUUAAAAUCAGGCUCAUCUGGUGUGUAGAUGUAUUCUUUUUCUAAUCUAAUUGUGGUGGAUCUGGUUACCUCGAAUCCUUAAAGAACCACUAUAGGCACGCAGACCACUUCAGCUCCAUGAAGUGGUCUGGGUGCCAGGUCCCUAUAGUUUUAACCCUGCAUCUGAAAUAAUUAUUCACUGAGGGUUAAUCCAGUCUCUAGUGGCUGUCUCACUGACAGCCACUAGAGGCCGCUUGUGAAAAUUACAGUGAGAAGGCGCUGACAUGCACAGGAAAGCAUUGAGUAAUGCUUUCCUAUGGGCAGUUUGUUUUGAAUAUUUUUAUUGUUAUCACAAUUUAAACACGGACAUCAAAAAUAUUUGUGUUAUAGUAAGUAGUUUCCCACGCAGCAGCAUAAGUAUCGGUAUAUAAAGAUGUAUGCAUUUUGUCGCCUACACAGAGGCGGAUUUGUCUAAGCCUGAAUAACAUAACAUAUAGGUUCACAUUUGGUUGCUUGUGUUUUACCUCCAUAUGACUUGUGGUGCACCUUGAUUGAGGUUAGACCGAUGGGUAUGGUUUUGUAUGCUCCUGUUGUUUGCGUGUGACUUUGAGCUCUGGCAUGUCAUGUGUCUUUUUAUUCGCGUGUUCUGACCUAGUUAGGCCUGGAUUGCAGUGGCUAUGUGUGUGUCGUAUCCUUUUGCUUUGUUGAUGAUGUUAGAACUGUUGGCGUUCUAUCUGCUGCCCUGCUAUUGUGUAUGUAGAUGACUUUUCAUGGUUUGUAUUGCCUUCCUGAAGGCCUAGUAUUUCCACCUCGGGUAAUACGACAGUAAGACUCGUCUCCAGAUGUGCAUAAUCCGGUCCCUAUAUAAAGAUUCCGUUCGGUCAGUUUGGUGUCGUGUUCUGGUGGGUUCUCCUAUUAGUAUGUCUGUUGUGUUAUCUAGUGGAAUCUGGGUCCGAUUGUGUAAGUCUGUGUUUGAUGUGUGGGUGUAUGUGGUAUGCUGAUUGUUUGGUUCUGUGUCUCCUGUGUUUGCCCUUCUUUCCCUGUCUGGUUGUGGUGUUGACUGACUGUGUGUCGUGAUUAUCUAUGUGUUGUUUUGUGCCGGGUUACGUGUGUCGCUAUUUGUGGUUGUAGCGUUUUUAUUGUGUCACCUAAUGGUGGCGGUAUACUGAGUGGUCUUUGCCAGUCGGGUGCGUUUCCAGUGUAUGUUCGGUAUGGGACUGCUCGUGUGAGAUAUGCAUUCUCUUUCGUGUUUUGAGGUCUCUCGGUUCGUUGCCUUGUCUGCAUUAGUCCGUUGGAGUGUGUUUGUGUGAGUGAGUGGGUCGUAGUGUGCUAGGCUGUAUGUGGGGUACCUGGGGGGGGGAUGGAGGAUAGUUCCGUUCCCUGUCGCCGUCCUGGCUCAAAACAUCCCGCUCUCUUGCCCGGUCCUUCGGUUCCAGGGUCUUGGUUUUCUUCCUCCCCGGCUAUUGUGCUGCUAAGCAGUGUUGAAAAGCAUUUGAGGUGGUUAAUCGUAGCCAGUGGAACCAGCGUUUGGUGUAGCGGUCUCUGUGGUUCGGGGUACUCACCUUUAUAUCUUCGAAUUUCCUAGUGGCUUCCACCCAUCGUGUGAUUGGGGGCGUGAUGGCCUGCUUCCAGAAGAUGGGGACGGUCGCUUUGGCUGCGUUCAAGAGCCGUGGGAUGACAGAUUUGGUGUAUGUUGAUACAGUGAUGUUGGUGUGAUGUAGGAGAAAGGUGGCAGGGGACCUUGGGAGCAUCUCGUCUGUUACUUUGUGUAUUAUGUCUCUAAUUGCGUUCCAGAAUGGUCGAAUACGUGAGCAUGUCCACCAGAUGUGUAGGAACAUGCCUACCUCCUCCCCGCAUCUCCAGCAUGUGUCUGGGGUUUCUGGGUUCCUGACGUGGAGCGCCUUCUGGUGUUUAUCUUGUACGGGUUUUCUUGCAAUCUUGCUGAGCUAGGCAUUUUUUGUAUCAGGCUGAUGCUUUUGUCCCAGUCUGCUUCUGUCAUGGUCUCGUCUAGAUCUUCCUCCCAGUUUCUUAUGCAGGGGGUGCUAGCAGGUACCUACUGGUGACCAACAUGGCGUAUAUCUGCGAAAUGGCACGGAGUGUUUCUUUGUCUUGCGUGCAGAAUAGUUCGAAUUGUGUAGGCUCUCUUAGCAGGGAUGGUUUUUGCGGGAUGGACCGAGCAUAUUGGGCGAUUUGCGCUCUUGCCAGUGUGUGUGAGAAGGUGAGUGGCCUGUCCGGGAAUAGGUCGUUUAAUGAGUGGAAGUCAAAUGGGUGCUGGAGGACAUCCAUCAUGCGGGGAGUUGUCGUGUGUCCUGCUGGGCCCGGCGUGGGGCCGAGGUCUCCCGCUGGGAAGUCUGGGUUGCCCCUUAGCGGUAGCAGCGGGCCCGGAUCCGUUGUCAGGUAUUGUUUCGUGCCCUGCCUGUGCCAGAUCUUCAUGGUUGCCGCCACGAAUGGGUUGGUGAUGUUUUUUUGCCUGUAUGUUGCCCUGGGGAUCCAUGGCAGGGUGCGGAGGUCGCAUUUAGUAGUGUCAGAUUCCAGUUGGGUCCAUGGUUUUGUGACGCUGGCAUACGACCAGCUGACGACUCUGGUGAGGUGUGCUGCAUGGUAAUAUUUUUCGAAAUCUGGGAGCGUCGGGCCCCCUCAGAGUUUAGGUAGGGUUAAUUGGGCGUGUGCUAUGCGUGGGGAUUUGCCCUUCCAUAUGAACGUGCGGACCUCUGCCUUCAGAGCCGUGAAGAAUAUUUGUGGAGCUAGUAUCGGCACUGUUUGGAACAUGAAGAGUAGUUUGGGCAGUAGUGUCAUCUUGACUGCAUUUACUCUUCCUAGACAUGAUAUGUAGUAUGAGCUCCAUCUAUGUAGUUCCUCUGUCGCUUUUUUUAAUAUGGGGAGGUAGUUUUGUGUUUAGAGGUCCACUGUGUUAGGUGUGAGCCAUACCCCCAGAUAUCGCAUGCGUUGAUCGCACUAGCAGUAGGGGUGUCGCCCCUGAAGUGUUUGUCUGAGGGUGUGGUUGAUGGUUAGGUUUAGGAUCUCUGAUUUUGAAUAGUUUAUUAGAUUAUGAGGUUGGAGAUUUGCCCAUAUUCUUCGAACUCCGUCUGUAUUGCCGGUAGGGAGGUCUCCAGGUUUGUGACUACAAAUAGCAUGUCGUCCACGUAUGCUAAGGUUUUGUGGUGUGUGGUUCCAGUUGUGAGACCCUGUAUGUCUGCAUUCUGCCUGAUCCUGCUCAGGAAUGGUUCCAGCGUCAGUGCAAAGAUUAAGGGCCAAAGUGGGCAACUCUGCCUGGUUCCGUUGUAUAUCCGGAACAGGUCUGUCAGUGCUCCGUUAAUUUGGAUUUGUGCCGUUGGGCAAGUGUAUAGCGCCUUCACCCAGGUGAGGUAUUUUGGUCCUAUACCGAAUGUCUGGAGAGUUUCAAGCAUCUUGUCCCAGUUCACCCUGUCAAACGCCUUUUUCGCGUCCGUUGACAGGAGGAGGAUCUGGGUCUUUUGUACUCUGGCGUGUGCUAUGAUGUUCAGGGCUCUGAUGGUGUUGCCCCUCACCCCUCUGCCCGGUAUGAAUCCCGUUUGAUCAGGAUGGAUUGUGGCUGGCAGUAGUGGUGCCAGUCGUGUCGCCAGGAUGCUUACAAGAGUUUGAUGUUAGUGUUCAGCUUGGUGAUCGGGCAGUAGCUUGGGCAUAAUGAAGGCCUUUUCCUUCCUUUGGGAGCAGGGUAAUGUUCGCCGAGGUGAAUUGGGUUGUUGGUGCGGCUCCCUCUUUUUUGGAAUUCAGGGCGUUUAGCAGUUUCGGUAGGACGUCCUGUGCGAAGACCUUGUAGUAUUGGAGGGGCAGCCCAUCCAGUCCUGGUGCCCUGCCCGUUUUUGUUUUUUUGAUAGCGUGUCAGUUCUUAGAGCAUUAUGGGCGUCUCUAGUGUUUCUUGGUCGACCUCUGUUAUUCCUGGUAGGUUUGCUGAAUCCAGAUAUCUGUGUAUGUCUACUAUUUUGUGUGGGCGGUUCUUCCGGUGCGUCUCGGCGAGGUGGUAUAGGUCUUGGUAGUACGUGUGGAACGCUGUUGCUAUCUGGUCUGGGAGAUGUCUGAGUUGUUGCUGUGCAUCCUUGAAUUACGGAAUAUAUAGUUGGGUUUUACGUUGUUUCAGAAGGUUACCUAGUAAUCUCCCGCAUUUAUCUCCAUGUGCAUGGAUCAUGUGCCUGUAGUGUUGAUAGGAACGUUGGAUCAUUCGGUUAAGGUGCGUGGUGAGUUGGUUACGUUUGGCUGUUAGGUCUCUGUAUGUUGUUGCGUCAAGUGUGCGUUUGUGUCUGGCUUCCAGGGUCGCAAUGUCUCUUCUAAGCUCGGUCAUCUCCUGUAUCACCGCCUUUUUGCGGAUUGCGCACAUUGCUAUGAAAUGGCCUCGUAUUACCGUCUUGUGUGCUUCCCAGCAGGUCAGUGGUGUCACGUCCCCCGUCUCAUUGUCUUGAAAGUAGUCUCGUAUGGUGUGGCUGAUCUUGUCUGUCACCGUCACGUCUGAGAGGAUUGAUUCGUUUAGUCUCCAGGACAUCUGUCGGGGUUUGAACAGAGGUGAUUUCACCCACAUGCGGAUUGGGCAGUGGUCCGACCAAGUCAUUGGCAGGAUUUCCACUGCAUUGAGCAGGGUCAGGUUUUGAUAGGUCAUUAGGAAGUAGUGCAGCCUCGUAUACGUUGAGUGAGUCUUUGAAUAGAAGGUAUAGUUUUGGGCUGUUGGGUGCAGCGCUCUCCAGCAGUCUGUCAAUUGGUGGUGAUGUAUAAGGCAGAGUGUGUUUGUGUGUCUGUUGUGUGGAGUUCUAUAUGUAGAUGUGGAAUCUUGGUCUGGGUGUAGUGCCAGGUUGAGAUCUCCCCCAAUGAUCAGAGUACCUUCCGCAAAUUUCAUCAGGGCGCUCAAUGUGUUCCGGAGGAAUUGAUAUUGUUUUGUGUAUCUUUAGUGAAGAUAUAUCUGCCCUGUGUGCACCAGAGGGUGGCUUGUUCCGUGUAUUGGGUUCUGCUAGAGAAGAAGAUGCCUACACCCUGCGUGCGUCUGUCCGGAUUAUUGCUGAAGUAUCCCGUUCGGAAGUUGCGAUCUUUCAGUGCCGACGUUCUGCCCUCUUGAAAGUGCGUUUCUUGGAGAAAUGCUAUUGAUGCCUUGUAGUGUUUCAGGUCUCGCAGAAGUCUUGUGAGUUUCUCCCGGACGUUUAGUCCAUGCACAUUGUAGGAGAUUAUACUUAAGUCCUCUCUGACAUAUCCGCUGGGGCGGACAGGGUUAGUUGGGGGGGUAGGGCUAGGGUAUAUACGUGUGUGUGUGGUAUAGUGUGGUCACGGAUUUGACCGGGUUCGGAGCGUGUGCUGCGUGGGUUUGUGUUGUCUGUAGUGUAUCUUUGGGUCUGUAGGUUAAUGGACAGUCAUCCCGGUAGUUUGACUGUUAGGCCUGACCAGUUGAUGGGUUUGGGUCUGUUCCGGGAGUUGUGCUUCCCCUGACAAAUGGGGAGUCCUGUGUCCUAUGCCUGUGGGGGUAUCGGGCUUUCCGUCCACGGUGGAUCAGUCCGCUGCGUGACAUCUUUUAAGUCCGUUUGUGUGCCGUAUGUGAUAGGUUAUACUGUACGUGGUUCUUGGUCCUUCGUCUCCUAAGUGGCUGUGUGUCUGGAGUGCCCGCUCCGUCUCUCAUUUUGGGUUGAGCAUGGGUCGGUGGGUGCGUGGUGUGUUGGUUAUUGCAGAAACUAUCUCUGCCGUCAGCAGACGGCUAUCGCUUUCGGGGUUAGUGCCGCCUUGGGUCUAUCGUGUUUUGAGGGAUUUUACUUUGUGAACCGUGCCGUUUAAGGGCCGUUUGAUCAGGGUCUAGCGGUCUCGUGCGGUGGGGGCCUGUGGGUAUGGGGGUGCCUGGUGGGCCGAGUUGGUCCUGUGUGGCUCUGGGGGGGGUGUUGUUCCCUAGCCCAUGUUGUGUCACCUGUUGCUGCGUAGUGUGGGGUUCUGGUAUGUUCGGGAGUGGGGCCUCUGUCUCUCUACGGUAGCUGUGUCGCUAUCAUUACCCUGCCCUGUCUGGGUCCCUGGGUAGGGAGUGCUGUCUGGUGUACAUCUCUGGUCUUGCUCCGUGUCUGGUUUGGUCGGGCGCUUUCGUGGUUCAGGUGUACACAGGAAAUCACAUAUUUAUCAGUUAAAACUGUACAUUGAACAUUUCAGUCCCCCUAUGAUAAUGUUGCAUUGUACGCCUAUCUGCAAGUUUGGUGGAACAUCUAGCCCAUUGCACUUGCUAUCUGUUUCCCUUCCCGUGUCUGUGCUUCAUGCGUCUUUGGCGCGCUGCUGGGGCAUUGUACUUGCCCUCCGUAGCAUACAGGUUGUGCCUGGGCGCUCUGCCUCCUAGACUGCUGCUUGGCAUUUCACCAGAGAGUUUUGUAUGUGUUAGCUAUCUUGUCGUCGUCCCCCCUUUCUUUGGGGGGGUGUGUACCCCCCCUCCUACCCCUUUGCUGUAGUUCCUUCCUCACCCCUCCCCCCCUGUCCUUGUGGUUCAGUUUGCUUCUGCCUGUUCUUCCCCCCACCCUUCCUCUCUCUGUUUUCCCAUCCCCCUCCGCUCCCAUUUCCAGCUCGUAUCGUGGUUCCCUCACUCUCCCCUUUGGUCCCAUUACUCCAUGUCCCCUCUCCCUCCCCUCCCUCCCUCUUCUCUCCCUCCUCCUCCCCCAGCAGAGCGUUUGUCAGUGCCACAUCAUUACAACGUCCUGAGCGGCCUCCCGUUUUGUGUCCUUGUUCUUGUCUCAGUGGAGGUGCACUGAGGGCCUGCCCACUGUCCCCCUCCCCAAAAGUCCUGUCUCCCUCCUCCUUGGCGCUUCAGGUAUUAAUUAUUGUGCCUGGAGCUGGUCCUCUUGGGGUCUGCGUGAUUAUUGUUGUGGCCCUGGCGGUUGUUGCAGGAACAAUCUCGUCAGCCAAUCUGGUACCCGUUGCAGCGGGAGGCCUAGGGUGCGUAGAAAUCCCGGGACAUCAUCCGGCUUUCGUAUUAUCAGUUGGUCUUGUCCGUGUCUGGCCGCGAGCGAGAAUGGGUAUCCCCAGCGGUACGGCACGCCGGCCUGUUGCAGGGCAGAUGUUACUGGACGUAGGGCUGUCCUGGCUUGUAGGGUGUAGCAGGAUAGGACUUGAUAUAUGGAUAUGGUCUGACCUUCCUGGCGGACUGUCCCCAUGCGGCGAGCUGUGUGUAGUAUUUCUAAUUUAAGGUGGUAGUUGUCAAGAUACGUAUUAUGUCCCUUGGUUGUUCUUCUGGUGCCGGUAUGGGUCUCAGCGCCCUGUGUUCGCGGACCAGGCCUAUUCUGGGUAUGUGCUGGCCCCCCAGUACUUGGGUAAAGAUUUGUCGUAGAAGUUCUGGUAUGUUUUCAGACUGGCCCCCCUCACGCAUCCCGCGGAGGCGCAAGUUCAUUCUGCGGCCGCGGUUGUCUAAGUCAUCCACCCAUGUUGUUAGGUAGGCUAUGUCAGCUUCUUGAUUCGUGACCGUUGUAUUGGUCUGUUCUAGGUCCGUUCUUAGUGCUCGUGUCUCUGUCUCUGCCACUGCCCUGCGGGCUUCUACAUUUGCCAUAUCAGCGCGUAGCUGGACCACCUCCUUGCGGACCACGCGGCCCAGGUGAUCAGAUAGUGCUUCACAAUCAGAUUUGGUCAGUAGGUUGGGCAAUAUGUCCCUCCACUCACCGUCUGGCUGCUGCUGUGAGUCUGAUGUGUGAGACGGUGCUGAGAGAAUCUGGCCGGCAUGGAUGGGAGUGACUCAAGGGAUAGGCUUGCGGCCUCCAUCUCCCCCUGCGGUGACUGGGCGCGGGUUGUGGCUUGGAGGUAGGACCUGAUAGAGAAGGACAAGUGAGAAGCUCUUUGAAUAUUGCACUUUGAAUAUUGCACUUUGUGCCAAACACUUUCCACAGACAUUUGCCAGGAGUGUGGAAGCUGGCCUCCUGCCCACCGACUAUGGGCCACAUCAGCGACUGUAAAGACCCAUUUUUUUAUUCCCCCUGGUUCGGCACUUUCCAUUCGUGUGCAUAAAACCGAACAUUAGCUCCCUGACAGCCAUUCGCAUGGACAAAAACCGAGAAUAGACUUCAGGGGGACUUAGCUGCGAAUGCCCUGGAACUAUUUUCGGCAUGAUUGAUUUUGCAUUUCCUGGUCGGUCCCCAAUGGCACUUAGCCAUGAUUCUAUGGAACUAUUUUGUGCAUAGAACCAUGGUGCGGUCGGUCAAAUUAUGACUUCCAGGAAAAUCCUGAAACCCUGAACCGAUCUGGGUGAUUUUGGAUAUGUUGGUCACCCAGAUCGAGGCUAUCAGGGGAUGUAACUUUUAGGAUACUUUUGGGGUGUUUGGGAAACGUGUGUUUUCUGUGCCUGGAGAUAAUUGAGUUUAUUACAGUGCUUGACUCAAUUAUCUCCCAGGCACAGGGGAGGGAUUAUCUUGUUUUGUAUUGAGUGUCCUGGACCUGAGAGCCAAUGUAAUCGUGUGUAUGGUUUUACUGUAGUCUACUCUCUGGUCCAGGGGGAAGUGCCCCUUGCAUGGGCACCUGCAUAUAAGGCCAGUUGUGGCUGCCAAUAAAUGUAUUCUAGCUUGUACUCCCAGAAUUAUGUGUUGUGUGGUUACUGGGAGGGGAAAGGGCUAUUCUUUAAUCACUGUUCCAGUGUGGAGGAUUCAACGGGGAAAGCCCUUAUAAGGACUAGAGCUCCCAGGACUGAGUGUUAUCCAGGGCCUGGGGUCUGUCUAGAGUGAAUUCCCCAUUCGGCUCUAGGAGGGAGCAGUUCCAGGACCCCAGUCAAACCACAUCGACUGUGGGCAGAAGUGCUGCGGUUUGUCCCCUCUCCAGCUAGGAAGCUGUUCCUGGCAGAGGUACCCAGCCAGGGUGGUUGGCAGCGGUGGGAUGGCUUCCUUUCUGUGUGAAACUAGCACUACUUCAGAGAUGGGAGGCAAGUACCGUCAGGCAAUAUUCAACAUCGACACCCAGUUUCAGCUGCAGUUACAGGAAGUUCCGCUCAGUUUGGAUUACCCUAUCUCAGCAGAAAAAGAGACGCAAUGGAGGGUGAUGCUCCGAACCGAAUUCUGGGUGGGGGUCCUAGGAGAAAUUUUCCCAGACUCCAACCAAUGCCUAUGGGACCAAUUCGACCUACUGAUGCCGUUUCUGGGAGAGCAGCCCCUAGUGGGUAAGAGAACUGGAGCGGUUGGUCGGAAUUGAGUUAUUGUUGGAUGAAUCCUACCUGGCCUUGAGGUGGCAUGCAGGCCACCUCUACCCAGGGCUACUCCACUACCAGCUCCUCGAGGGAAAGGACUACGUUGGGCCUGGGCUGUUGUGGGAGACCUUUGAGGAUCCCCUAGGGUUUGAAAACCUGGACAGUACCACCUACUUCCCAACCAACCACAGAGAUAAGAAACCUUAUCGACUGGUCCUGGGAAGACCCCCAGUUUGCAGGUGGAGAUGGGACCGAGGUCUCUCCACCGGCCCUACAGGGAUGUUGAGCAGCCUGCCCAGAUCUCCAACCCCAGAUGGAGAUGUUAGGAGUGGGGUUGGAGAUAGAGCAAAUUACAGGGAGAGAAGUGUGUUAGCCUUCCUCCACAGCGGCAGAGUGUGUUAUUGGGAGAAGAGACAGUCGGUCUCUCUCCCCAGUGGCAGUGUAUCAUUCAGGGAGAGGAGACAAGUGGUCUCUCUCCCCAGCGGCAGACAGAGUUGCAGGGAGAGAAGUGUGUUGCCCUUCCUCCCCAGCAGCAGAGUGUAUUAUUUGGAGAGGAGACGGUCGGUCUCUCUCCCCAGCGGCAGACAGGGUUACAGGGAGGGUAGUGUGUCCUCCUUCCUGUUAAGCGGCAGAGUGCGUUACUGGGAGAGAAGACGGUCGAUCUCUUUACCCAGCGGCAGACAAAGUUACAGGGAGAGGAGAGUGUCAUCCUCCAUCUCUAGCAGCAGGGUGAGACGGUCGGUCUCACUCCUCAGCGGCCGAGUUUGUUACAGGGAGUGGAGACAACGCGUCCCACUCUCCAGCGGCAGGGCGAGUUAUUGGGAGUGGAGAUGGUCAGUCUCACUCCCCAGCGGCAGUGUGUAUUACAGGGAGAGGAGCGUAUCGUCCUCUCUCCACAGCGGCAGGGUACUAUACAGGGAGGGGACAUAGUCGGUCUCACUCCCCAAAAGCAGCAGGGGUUACUGGGAGUGGAGACGGUCAGUCUAACUCCCCGGCGGCAGUGUGUUACUGGGAGUGGAGACAGUCGGCCUCAUUCCCCAGCAGCAGUGUGCAACCCAGGGAGAAGAGAGUAUCGUCCUCCAUUCCCAGAAGCAGUGUGUGUUCCAGGUGGCCGGUCCCUCUUCCCAGUGGCAGGGCUUUUUAAAAAGAGAGGAGACAACCGGUCUCUCUCCCUAGCGGCACUGCAAGUUGCAGGGAGUGGGGAGAAUUGCAUCAUUCAUCCCCAGCUACAACUUGGUCUACAUGGAGUGGAGUGCAGCAGUUUUCCUCCCCAGCAGGACCCUGGAUUUACAAACAGAAGCUUGUGGCAGGUGGCCCUCUUUACAGCUAACCCUUUUGGGAAGGGUCACCAGACUAACACAGACCCAGACGUUUCCCAUGGACUCCUGAAGCUGGCCUCCUUCCCACCGACUAGGAGCUAGGUCAGUGACUGUAUAGACCCAUUUUUUUUUCCCUGGUACGGCACUUUCCAUUUGUGCGCAAAGAACAGCUUCCUGGCAGCCGUUCGUAUGGCCAAAAACCGCGAAUAGACUUCAGGGGGACUUAGCUGCUGGAGCUGUUUUCAGCAUGAAGACUUUGCGGUUCACGGUCGGUCCCAAGUGGCACUUAGCCGCGAUUCUAUGGAACUAUUUUGGGCAUAGAACCAUGCGUGUGGUCGGUCAAAUUAUGACUUCCAGGAAAAUCCUGAACUGAUCUGGGUGAUUUUUGGAUAUGUUGGUCACCCAGAUCGAGGCUAUCAGGGGAUGUAAGAGGGUUUUAUGUAUUUUUAAGGUACUUUUGGGGUGUUUGGGAAAUGUGUGUAAAGUAUUAAAUUGGUUGUUAUACAGUGCUUGACUUAAUUUUCUCCCAGUCACAGGGGAGUGAUUAUCUUGUUUUGUAUGGGAGUGUCCUGGACCUGAGAGUCAAUGUAAUUGUGUGUAUGUUUUUACUGUAGUCUACUCUCUGGUCCAGGGGGGAGUGCCCCUUGCAUGGGUACCUGCAUAUAAGGCCAGUUGUGGCUGCCAAUAAAUGUAUUCCAGCUUGUACUCCCCGAACUAUGAGUCAUCGGGUUACUGGGAGGGGAAAGGGCUAUUCUUUAAUCACUGUUCCAGUGUGGAGGAUUCAAAGGGGAAAGUCCUUGUAAGCACUAGAGCUCCCAGUACUGAGUGUCGCCAGUGCCUGGGGGUGUCUAGAGCGAAUUCCCCAUUUGGCGCCAGGAAGGAUCAGUUCCAGAACCCCAGUCAAGCCACGGCGACUGUGGGCAGAAGUGCUGUGGUUUCUCCCCUGUUCCAGCUAGGAAGCAGUCCUUGUUGGAGGUACGCAGCCAGGGGUACAGGGAGUUCCAUUACACACUUUAUCAUCAUUCCAGUUUCUUUUAAGAUUUGAUGAUGGGCAUUUGAUUUGAAAGAUUUUUGUAAGUGUGACCAAUAAAAGUAAUUUGUUAUAAUUUUAGACAGUGUUGCACUAUGUUGUUUUUAUUUUUAUUUUGCAUGCAUAUUUAAUUUGAGGUAACCAGAUUCACGUCUAUUGGAUUUAACUAAGAAUACAUCUAUACACCAGAUGAGCCUAAUUUUAACUUAAUUUUGUGAGUUUAACAUUGAAUACCACCCCUUCUCAGUGUUUCACUCUACUACUACUCUGUGUGGUCCUGUUUUUCUUUUAUUGUAGAUACUUGUUUUUUUAUGUUAUAUUUUCUGACGAACUUGAGGAACAUUUGGUGUUCUACAAUAUGCAUUCCAAUAGGGUAACAUUUUAUUGUAUUUUAAGUACUGUACUUUUGGGGUGAGUAUGUUGUUUGAAUUUUGUGAUUAGUUUUUAUAAACUGCAAUAAUUACAUGCUAGGGUUAACUCCUCCUCUAGUGGCUGUCUAUCGGACAGCCACUAGAGGGACUUCCAAAUGCUUAGACGACUUUUGGUCACCAAAAAGAGGCUGGACGUCUUUGCGCUAUGCAUGAGGGCUUCCAGCGUCACCGGAAUCCCCAUAGGAAAGCACUGAAUAAUGCUUUCCAGUGGGGAAACCCUAAUGCAAGCGCAUGUGCAUUAGGUCUCCCCCACCGGCAGACGUCGGCAGGAGAGGAACAUGGGCGGAGCUGAGGGAUAUUGGCGCUGGGCCAAGGUAAGGAACAGGGUUAUUAAUUCCUUCUGCACCAUGGGGCAGGAGGGGGAGGCGGGGCUUGACAAAGGAGAAAGCUGUAGUGCCAGGAAAACCACUAUAAGCACCAAAACAACAUUACAUUAAUGGAGAGUUUUUGGUUUGUAGAUGGUGUCCCUGUAGUCUGUUUGUUUUUAAUUUAGUCUAGUUUUCUGUUAAAUCUCUUUGUUCAUGUGUCGGUAGCCACAACUCCCCUACAUGUGACUUACAUAUUCUUUGUACACAUUUCUUGUAAAGAGAGAUCUAAUUUUUACAAUUAUUUUUUUGCAGUUUACUUAAUUUAGAAUUUCUUAUCUCCUGCUCUGUUGAUAGCCUUCUAGAGCUUGCAUAAACCUCCUCUGUGUAAGUAAAGUUCAAUUAACAGGGUAGGAGAUACAAUUUACUUCUGAAGUAAUCAAACUGUGCUGUCACAUCUGAUUGAAAAAAUAAACAUUUUUCAUGCAGGCUGUGUGAGUCACAGCCAAGGGAAGUGUGGCUAGGGCUGCAGAAACAGAAACAAAAUUGAUUUAAUGUCUAAAUGGCAGAGAUUUGAGCAAUGAGAGUAUAGCAGAAUAUGAAACCUCUUGUCAUGUCAUACCUCUUAACCAAAAUGUCAUAAAAAGGGGGAUAUACACUCACAGAUAUAUUUUUCAGUGGGUGGAAAUCAAGAGUAUUUUAGUGCUAACUGUGAUUUUUACAUAUCUAUUUUUCUAGCACUUAUCUCAACAUAUAUGAUAGCUAUGCAUUGUUGUGUAUCUUCUUAUGUUCUAAUUAUUGUACAGAUCAGUUAGAUAGUUAAUGUUAUUUAACCAUGUUGAAUAUUGAAGGCUGAGCUCUGAUAGACAUCUAAAAGUUAUUAGACAUGUGACACUCCAGCUACAGUUCAACACAAGUCUAAGUAUGCUUCUCUAGAUAACUAGAGUCUAAAUAUGCGGAUUAUGUGGAUUCUUGUCCCAUGUAGCUGAGGAGUUGCAUUUUCUGGAAAUUAUGAAAUAACAGGUUUUUGUUGUUUUAGAUGACAGGUAAAUCAACACAUGUAAAAUGGCCGUGAAUUAGUUGCCAGGGCUUCCAGAAAAAGAAACAUGUUGUUCAUUAAGUCACUUUGCACUUGCUGACAGUUCACAGCCAGACACUAUUGAUUACUGUACAGAGUUCCAGGGUAAUAAUGUGUUUCCUAUGUUGUCAUCCAGAUCAUUAAAAUGUCUCUGGUCAAGAAGCAAGAUUUUCUGCACAAUGGAAAAACUAUUUGCACAUCUUACAACAUAUAGAAUAGGAGUGUUAAUAGAUAUCUUAUUAAAAAUGCCAGCAUCCGACCCUGAACAGAUUCCUUAAAUUACUGUUCUAAAGGAAAUUGAAAAGCCACCCAGCAAAUCACAUCUGAUUUUGGAUAUGUGUGAGAUGCUAGUUUGUAAUAGAAAUCACGUUGUCAAAAUCCUUUUCAUCUCGGUUUCUGAAAAAAGAAAAUAAUUUAUAUUGCUUAUUUUUCUCCAGGUAGAUUUAUUAGAAACUCCUCUGCAACAGUAUUCUUCUGCAUUGUCAUCUCCAAAGAGAUUGUCGCCAUCAAUUCACAUGAUGCCCCCAACAAGACCACUAAUGCACCAGGCACAAACAGGGCUGACAAGUCACCCCUUACAUAUCUCAACCAUGGACAGGUAUAACUUAUGCAUAAAUACUGCCGUCAGCAAAUACUUUGAAAAGGCAGAGGAUGAGUCUUAACGAGGCAAAAGUGGUUCCUGCGUGCUACGAAUCCAGAUGAAUGCUUGCUUAAAUUGCAUGUAUAGGACAAUCCAAGGAAGAUUUUACUUUCCUUUCUAAUUAUCCUUAGGCUGCUACAGAACCCACUACAACCAGAAUAGACAUUUUUUGGCGUUACCUGCUUUCCGAAAUGAAUAUGAGAUACAUUUGCAUAUGCAAUAUGAAAUAAAAUAGAAUCAGUUUGCACAUGUGCAGUAAACCUUGAAUGGUUAGUUUACUGUGUAUGUCUUUUUAUAGUUUACUGUGUAUAUGUACAGGUGAUACUUUAAAGUCUUUUUAAAAUCAUUAAUGAUAGUGCUCCUGUAUACAAAGCAAGAGCACCUUCUAUUAAUAUAUUUAGAAUACAUUGCAGUUGUCCCUUUUAGUAGUGCCAUUUUAAUUCGUUUACAUCAAACUUCCAAGUUUUUUUAAUUUUGUACCUCUGAUUGCCACAUUCUCUUUGCAAGAGCAAACCUGACUCAUUAGUGCAGGGGGAUCUGUCAGAAAGGAUUAUAUAUCAAUCCAAUGGUAUGAGAAGACAGAAAAACUAUUUCAUAUUUAACCAUUAUUAUUAUUUUAUUAUUUAUAAAGCGCCAGCGAAUUCUGUAGCGCUGUACAAUUUGAAAUGCCUUAUGCAUUUCAAAAUAAAAUUUUAGGAAAGAUUUUGUGUUGUCCAUAGUAGUUCUGGAUAAUCAGGUCAACUUGAGGGAGGUAUGCACAUGUAAUUUAUAUGCUGCACUUGAGAAAUCAUCAGCAAAUGUACCGGUAAGUCAUUAAGGUACAAAUAAAAAUAUACCUAAAGAGUGCUUCUGCCUUAUUGGAGAUGGCUUCCACCAUUUUACUUUAGCAUCUUGAACGAGACUGACUCACAGUCCAAGUUUUUUAACACCUUAGCAAAAAAAAAUGUAGGAAGGUUAGUUGCCACAUAAUACCACAGCUAUGAAUUUCACAGCCAUUAGGCUUUCACAAUCAGAAGAUUAAAUAUAAUGACAUUAUAAUAGAGCUAUGGUUGAAUUUUUUUUCUGAAAUAAUUCAUCUUAUUUCACACAAUACCUGUCGCUCAAUACUUUUGAGAACAAAAAAAAAUAUUGUUAUGUAUGCAAAAUUUUGAGGUUGUUGUAUUACUAAAAGUAACUAGUGGACAUACUUAUCCACUCGGUGUCAGAUUAAAAUUCUGUAAGGCUCUACACAGAAUGCACAAUGCAUUUUGUAUGUGGAGGGGACACGGAGUGUUUUUUGUGGUGGUGUUUGUGUGUGACUGUGCUGAGCAUGGUGGGGGAGAGGCUUAGUGUGUGUUGGGUGGCCUUUUCACAAAUAGAGGGCAUAAUCACCUGAAGGUCAUUUGGUGUGCCUUGUGUGGAGACUGAGUGUGACUGUGUGUGGCUAAAUUUUGUAUGUGGAGGGGACACGGAGUGUUUUUUGUGGAGACUGAGUGUGACUGUGUGUGGCUAAAUUUUGUAUGUGGAGGGGACACGGAGUGUUUUUUGUGGUGGUGUGUGUGUUUGUGUGUGACUGUGCUGAGCAUGGUGGGGGAGAGGCUGAGUGUGUGUUGGGUGGCCUUUUCACAAAUAGAGGGCAUAAUCACCUGAAGGUCAUUUGGUGUGCCUUGUGUGGAGACUGAGUGUGACUGUGUGUGGCUAAAUUUUGUAUGUGGAGGGGACACGGAGUGUUUUUUGUGGAGACUGAGUGUGACUGUGUGUGGCUAAAUUUUGUAUGUGGAGGGGACACGGAGUGUUUUUUGUGGUGGUGUGUUUGUUUGUGUGUGACUGUGCUGAGCAUGGUGGGGGAGAGGCUGAGUGUGUGUUGGGUGGCCUUUUCACAAAUAGAGGGCAUAAUCACCUGAAGGUCAUUUGGAGGGUAUUGAGGGCAUUCUUCAGUAGUCCAGUAGGAAGUGUUGUGGUCUGCAACUCUAUCUUGUGAAGAUCACCUUAAGAGUCACACUUAGUCAGAGGAUCAGACUACUGGUUGUUGUGCUCUGAGACAGUGGGACGUGCUGAAACUGUGAGGCAGCUCGUAAAGUUAUCUAUGCUCAAUACUUUCCUUCCAUGUACUGAGAUACUGAGAGCACUGAGAUCUUUUGAUCUCCCUUUUGGCUCUAGGAGGGUCCAUCUCACAGUCAGUGCCCAGUCAAGGACCAGGAGUGGGGCUUCAGAAAGAAAGGGGUCAACCGAUUAUUUUUUGGGCUGAAGCCCCGUGUGUUUUUUGACUGUUACAAUGUCACUAGAAAAACCUACAAGCCAAUGUUCAGAAAGCUAUGUACUUUAAUGAAAACAUAUCAAUUGUGUUAGUAUAAAAGAGUUUACCUGAUUGUAGUUUUGUCUUCAAAUACCAGUUUAAAAUCUCAAGCUAAUUGUCAAGCAACCAAUCAGAUGCUAUUAAAAUAUUGUCAUCUAAUAUCCACAUUUCUUUUUCAGUACUGAGGCACUAAGGCGUGAACUUGAAAGAGAG